rnacentral:rRNA from 1 species
AUUGAACGCUGGCGGCAGGCUUAACACAUGCAAGUCGAACGAGUGGCGGACGGGUGAGUAAUGCUUGGGAAUCUAGCUUAUGGAUGGGGAUAACUACGGGAAACUGUAGCUAAUACCGCGUACCAUAGGAUGAGCCCAAGUUGGAUUAGGUAGUUGGUGAGGAAAAGGCUCACCAAGCCGACGAUCUCUAGCUGGUCUGAGAGGAUGACCAGCCAAGCGGGGAUGGAGCCACGGCCCAGACUCCCACUGGAGGCAGCAGUGGGGAAUAUAGCACAAUGGGGGCACCCUGACGCAGCCAGGCCGCGUGAAUGAAGAAGGCCUUCGGGUUGUAAAGUUCUUUCGGUGGCGAGGCGUUAUCUACAGAAGAAGCACCGCCUAACUCCGUGCCAGCAGCCGCGGUAAUUC